CGUCACCCAAUGCGUAACAUAGCGGAAGUAAUUUGAAUUUACACCAAGUAGACACAACACGGAUACAUGCAGCUCACUUACACCAAUAUUAAAGAAUGGGUGUGAAAGGUCUUCAGAGCUUUAUGGACCGCUGCUGUCCAGAGGCGUGUGUGUCUGUGAACCUGAGAGAAAUGUCCCGACAACACGCUGCUAAAAGACAGACAGGCUGCACGACCACUACUAACAGUACCAGACCCACACUUGUUGUGGAUGGUAUGGCCUGCCUGCGCCACUGGUACUCGUGUAAAGACUGGGUGUGUGGGGGGCAGUGGAGGGAGUACAUGGAUGGGCUGAAGGGCUGGGUGGAGGCCUUCAGCUCAGCUGGCAUCAGACUGGUCUUCUUCUUCGACGGAGUGGUGGAAGAGCAGAAGAGACAGGAGUGGGUGAAGAGGAGACGCAGAGUAAACGGGGAGAUUUCUAAACUGUUUCGUCACAUCAAAGCUCAAGGAGAGCAGCCCGGUAGAGAGCUCUUUUGUCUGCCUUCUGGUCUGGCAACAUUCACACGCUUUGCUCUCAGGUCACUGGGUCAGGAGGUGUUUUGCUCAGUGCGGGAGGCUGACUAUGAGAUUGCCAGCUAUGCUCGUCAGCAUGGUAGUAUGGGUAUUCUGGGACAGGAUUCCGACUUCAUCAUAUAUGACAGUGCCCCCUGCUUCUCUGUGGCAAAGCUGCGGAUACACAGCCUCACCACGGUCAUGUACGACCGACAGAGGCUCUGCCAAACCAUCGGACUGACUGUUGCCCAGCUACCACUGCUGGCCUGUCUCCUAGGUAACGACGUGGUGUCAGAGGAUAAGAUGAUGCACAUCAGGAACAACGCCAUGGCAACAUACAGGAUAGACAACCCCAUAGCACACUCUGGUGCUCCCCAGGGGCAGAUGGUUAUGGCUGUAUCCCAUCUCGUGAGCUCUGUGUGGGGCAGAGAGGAGCAAGAGACUGGGCUCAUCCCUCAGACUCUGAAUCUGUCAGCUCCUCACAGAGAGCUACUGAAGAGAGGCGUUCGCUCUUAUUUACUACCUGGAGAGGAAGCUAUUCAGCUCGGUGACAUCUCUGCACCUUCCUCUGCCUUUGAGAAACAUGUUAGUUCAGAAAUAUUAAAGGCCUGUAGAGAGAAGCAUGUAGCAGCAGAGGGUUUCAUGGUUUACAGUGUUUUGUGUGAGGGAGUGAUUGAGUGUAGCAACACUCUGGAGGAUGAGGAGGACACUGAGCUGCUGCCUCAGGCACUCGUCUACAAGCCCUGCAGACAACGCAUCUAUGGGCUGCUGCUGUUCAACGGGCAUGAAGGCAGCAGGGUCGACCUUCCAGCCAUCAGGGAAUGGUUCGUCUACGCUGGAAACGCUCUGAAGGAGCCUGACAUGGUCCAUCCCGUUCCAAUCAGCCUCCAAUAUAAUCAGCCCGUUCUGGACUUGUUAUGGUUCGGUAACGGUCCUGAGGUUUCGUCUCUCCGCCUGAAGUCCUUCCUUUCGAUGUUUGACUGCCAGGAGCUUUCAGAGUUAUAUGGAGCUGUUGAAGACUCUCUCCUGGCUGCUCUCUGCCUCGUCACCUACAUAGCCCUCCAGAUACAAACGUUGUCUCAGGAGGACUGUGAUGCUUACCUGAGUCAGGCUGUGUGUCUGAGACUUAAAUCCCAGAAGGAGCUUCAACAUAUCAAGUUGCCAUUCCUGUGCAGUCGGGCGGUGCAGCUUGGCUCUCUCUACGUCCGGGGACUGGCCCACCUGUUGGGGGCUAACUGUGCGAGCGGCGGCCCGCUGCCCGGCGCCGCCCUCAUGCCUUGGAGCAGCUUCGAUGGACGGCUGUUCCACUCAAAGUACCUGCUGGCUCACAGUGGCUCAGACAACACUGUGCUGCUGGACCGCGAUGUGAGUGGAGAUGGAAAACAAAAAGGGGAAUCCGUUCUGUUUGUCUCAGUUUCUCUGCCUGAGAGAGAAACUUACAGAAACCUGCAGGAAGCGAGGCAGAGUCCUGCAGUCCAGACCCAAAGCACCACAACAAGCUCCUGGACCCCCAAACAGAGACAGACACACAGGUGGUGGGGAGAACUGGAGCGAGAGAGGAGAGACGACCGGAGGAGGAUGGAGGGAGAGAGGGGAGGCAAGAGGAGACCCUAAUAAAUGUGAAAACCGAGAAAGACUGUGGGAGAGAGGAGGAGGAGGAACGAGAGGAGAACAUUUUCACCCUCAUCCCAGAGGUCGAUCGCAUCGCAGCAGAGGCAGAUACCAGCUGGCCCCUAGAUGGUCACAGCCUCCUGCACCAGGAACAUAACCCCUAACCGAGUGGAGAGAAGAGGAGGAUUAAAGGGGAGGAUUUGAGGAGUUAAGAGGAUGGGGAAGACGUGAUGAAAGGAGCAAAGUAAUCAAAUUUCUCUGAACAAACUGAUUAGUGAAUUAACCCGUCAGGAAUGUUUGUCUAAAGGAUGCAGAAGGUAGAUAUACGGGGAUUAGGAGGAGGCAGCAUGAAGAGAUUAGGAAUAAAUCAUUCAAUUUACCAGUUUAACUUGAAUUUGUCUUUUUGUGCUCGAAAUUGUCCUUACAGAUUACAUUUUUUUAAAGUCAAUAAUUUUAAAGCCAGUACUUUAUUUUAGGGCAACUUAACUGUCUCACAGUGACAGCAGAUUUUAAAUAUACAUGAGCACUCCCCAAACAAACACAGAAAUGCCACUUCAAAUGGAUUAAUGGUUAAUCCUCAAGGCUGUUUUUACCUCUUAUCUCUCACAAUAAAAAGAGAAAGAUCUUAAAAGCUGUGUGUGUCCAGUGGCAUAAUCCUUUUAAAGGAAUGGUUUCAACUGGAUAAACAGUAACGCUAGUUUCAAGUAUCGGCUGGGAUAGGGCUUCAGCGCCAGAGAUUGACACACUUCUGUAAACUGAUACCAGGAGCCAUUUUAUACAAUAGAUAUUAGGUUAUACGUAAACUGGAGUCUCUUAAGAUAUUUUCCCUUGAAUUGUUACAUCUUUUGUUUUCUUUCUUUCUGUCUCCUCGGAAAACACAUGGAGGUCUUUCUUGUUGGAACAACCACUUUUAUUCUGUGCAUAUAAUGAAACGUUAUUCUUGAAUUCAAUUAAGACCCAGAACCAGAUGACACUAUUCGGCCUGACAACAUUAAAACCUCACUGCAUUAAG